rfam:Danio rerio chromosome 4, GRCz11 reference primary assembly.
GCAUUGGUGGUACACUUGUGAAAUGCUCGCCUGUUACGUGGGAGACCUGGGUUCCAUUCCCAGCUAAUUCA